AAGUGGAGCAAUCCAUGAGUAUAGUGGCGACCGGGUGAGUAACACGUGACUACCUGCCCUUGAGUGGGGGAUAACCUCGGGAAACCGAGGCUAAUACCGCAUAAUAUCGAAAGAUCAAAGGAGCAAUCCGCUUUUGGAGGGGGUCGCGGCUGAUUAGCUAGUUGGUAAGGUAAUGGCUUACCAAGGCGAAGAUCGGUAUCCGGCCUGAGAGGGCGCACGGACACACUGGAACUGAAACACGGUCCAGACUCCUACGGGAGGCAGCAGUGGGGAAUUUUGCGCAAUGGGGGAAACCCUGACGCAGCAACGCCGCGUGGAGGAUGAAGCCCCUUGGG
rnacentral:rRNA from 1 species